CGGCGCCUCAGUAUCGUCGUGUCCAUCGAGAGAGUUGGUUCGUGACGAGUUUCGUAUUUCUUGAACGGAACAAAAGUUUAGAACUCAAUUUAUGAGAAAAAUUCGAUUCAAUUCGUGAGAAGAUUGAUCGUGUAUAAUUUGUUUUUAUUGUUGUAUUUGUAAAAAUUUAUUUAUAAUAUAAUAGUACCGCGUUCUUUCAACGACGAGGGCUAGCCUUGCCCUUGAAACAGCAGCCGGAGUUUCGAGUGGCCGAUACAGCGUAACGCGCACGACGACGUUCCAACCAGCUGUGCUCCGGAAUCGCGAAUCGCGUGUGUGUUGUGUUCGACGUUUUUUCUUGUUUAUCUUUUCUAUGUGCGAGUUUCUCGUUAUACUUGUCUUCUAUAUUCGUCACGUUACCGUGAUUCGUGAAAAAAGAAGACAAUCGUCGGUUUUUUAGUUUAUGUAUUGCUUUUGUUGAUCUUGUUUGAUGUUUAUUGGUGAGAAUCUACCGGGACAAUAGGAACAAAGAGACGAAACCAACAGUUGUGAAAGGGUAACAGAGACAGAUAGAGUGAGAGAGAGAUAUCGUGGUGUAUCGAUCGAGAGUGGAGUUCGCAGUUGACGUCACAAAAUCCAGAGGGAAUUAGAGCGUACACCGCGGGAUCAGUUAAAAUACGAAGAUACCAAAGGAAAAGAGAAAAGAAAGAGAUUCACCGAGAGAUUGACACGAUGAUUUAACUCGUUUACCAUCGAACAAAUCUCUUUGAACGGGGAAUGCAAUUACGACGUGAUGAAGUUGCCUUUGUAGAAACAUGUAUCGACAACAUGGUGCACGACAACGGGUAUCCAUCGUCUAGCGGGCCCACGUGAACGACACCACAGUGGAUUUCUGUCGCGAGCCGUGAGUUCGCGUUGCAUCGUGGCGGAAGAUUUAUUAGCAUCGGUGAAAAUGCUAAUAAAUUUCUCGCGGAUCUCAUCGCUGCGUUAAACGCUUCGCUUAUUCAUCAUUGAUGAAAUUCAUUGACGUAAUGGUAAAUAAAUAGAAUCUUGCGUUUCGAAAAGAAUAAAUUAAAUAAAAGAGUUUAUCAAUGGAAUGGAUAAUCGAUGAUAAAAAUUAAAUUGAAUUAAAAUUAGUAUUAAUAUUCGUGUUUAUACACGGAAGAU